GAUUAUAACUAUAAUUAGAUCUUUCAAUUUUGUUAACUCAUACGUUUUUGUUCACGCUUAAUUUGGAAACCAUUUCAAAACUUUAACCACCGGCCAAAGAUUUGUAAAUCUCGUUAGCUUUAUCACUUUCAACCCUACGGCCCUCUUUCAUCCCCUCCAUCCGUGUGAUAUUCGCUGUCGCGCACAAGUCAUCGUACCACCAUACACAACCGUGUCGCCAUAUUCGCCACGAAACCAAUUGACAGUUGCCUGUCAUCUUUCCGGUUACUGGUUACCGCCGCUCACCAUCGCGCACUCCGCCAUAAACCAUCGGCCGCUGCCAUAAUCUCUGAAUAGUUUAUGUUCGACUCUGGAGGCUCUCAUGUUCGUUCGUUAUGGACUACUUGAUCUGUUUUGCCCUUGCUUUGCAUGGUUAAACUAAGGUCGUUAGUUGUUUGCAUUGGAACUUGCUGUCUGGAGUAGCUGGAGUCUCAUGGGUCGAUUGGAGGGUUUCGUGUUCUGAUUUGUUGAUACUUUAUAUUGGGUUUAAACUAUUUAACUUCGUUUGGUUUUGCUUCCGCUGAAUACUUUGGUUUUCUUUUGAACUUGGAUGGUGUUUUAUUAUUAAUCGAGAACUUUAUUUUAAAAACAUGUAUGGGUUUUAUGUAAUUAGUGGCUCAUGGCUGGUACGUCACACGCCUAUCAGGGACACUCCCUAAGUGGUAUUUUGGGGGUGUGACAUCGUCCCAGUAUGAGUCUCAAUUUGGAUUUCGAUUCCGUGUUAUACGUAUAGUUUGUAUCUGUGAGUACCUGUAUUCAGUAUUUGAUUCAAUCUUUGAUCUAUACUUGUCGUUGAAUCUGUCUUGUUUCGUGUCAAUUCUCUCAAUCGGUUUAAUAAGUUUUGU
rnacentral:lncRNA from 1 species